GAAGUACAUUCACAUUGUUGUGCCACCAUUGUCUAUCCACAGAACUCUUUGCAUCUUGCAAAAUUGAAACUCCAUAGCCUUAAACCAUACACACACACAAACACACACACACACAUCUUUUUCGAACCAUUGAUAGUUAAUUACCUGAUGAUUUCCCCCUAGAUACUUCAGUGUAUAUUUUCUAUUUUAUUUUAUUUUAUAUUUUUUCAGACAAGGUCUUGCUCUGUUGCCCAGCCUGGAGUGCAGUGGUAUGACCAUAGCUCACUGCAGCCUCAAACUCCUGGGCUUAUGUGAUCCUCCAGCCUCAGCUUUGCCUAAGCUGAUCUUAAACUCCUGGCCUCAAGUGAUCCUCCCACCUUGGCCUCAUGAAGUGCUGGGAUUACAGGGGCACAUCUUGUAUCCCUCUUGCCUCAACUCUGGAAUUGGUUACCACUACUUCUGAACUGGGUGGCAGCUACAGACAGAGGUGGUAAGGGAGUAAUUGCUUAGGAUUGGACUGAGCUGAAGAAUGUUUAGCCUGGCGGUACUAGUGCAACUGGAAGAACAGAUGAACCAUAGUUUGCAACACAAAGCCAAGUCAACCAACAGAAGAAAUAUAUAUUUUAAGAAGAUUUUAUAUUUUCAACUGAAAACGUUCAUGUCAGUUGUGAAUGUAUUUGUAAUUGGCAGCCCCAAAUCAUCUCCCUUUUUAUUUUUGAGAAAGUGUAGUGUGCUUUAGUAUUUGGAACAUUCAUUUAAACCUAUUAAAUUAUAUUUUAAAAUGCACUGUUCCCAUUUCAAUCAAAAUUGGUUUUAUACUAUAUAUUGUAACACUAAAGUGCUUCUGGUAAUUUGCUUGUAAAACCAAAACUCUUUUAAAUUUAUCCACUUGUCCCUUUCAGAAAUGACGUGUUUGUGCAUAGGACUUGUUAGUAUUCUGAUUCAAACAAAACUACAGUACAUGUAAAAACAUAUUUAUAGAACAUAAAUAAGAAAAUGUGAACCCUGAAGAAUAUUUGAUGGAACUAAUGGACUAUUCUAAUUUUUAUGUGUGAAAAUGAUAAUGUGAUUUUUUAAAAGAGUCCUUCUUUUUUAGACAUGCACACUGAAAUAAUUAUAGAUGAAAUUAUGCAAUGUCUGUGAUUUGUUUCAAAAUAGUCUGGUGCUUAGGGAGAGAGAAGUGGGUGGGGAGAGAGAUGAAAUAAGCUUAGUUAUGAGUUGGUAAUUGUUGAAGCUGGGUCCUAUAUAUAUAUGGGGGUAAGGUCAUAUUCUAUUCUACUUUUGCAUAGAUUUGAAAUUUUUCAUAAUAAAAAGUUAAAAACAAAUCACACACCAAAAAAACUCCCAAACCCAACUGUCAUUAUUUAAUAACUUUGAACUUGGUAUGGACCUAAGAAGGCAUCUUUUACAAGGGAAAUGUGCAGUUCCAAGUCUUUUUCUUGAUGAUUGGGUCUGAAUGUGUUAAUCAAUGCUGCCCUGUCAUAGCCCCGACAUAGGGAAAAUGCUGAAAUGUGAUUUUUAAAUCAUAAAAAUGUGCCCAUAGUAAUAGCUCCAUCUUUUGCACAAUAUUUAAAUCAAUUCAUUGAUUUCCAGUUGCCUGAUAUUCUUAUUUCAGUAACAAAAUAAACGAUACAUAGUUCAGUAAAGUUGAAUCCAUUUGGGUUCAUUUGUGCUCGAAGUCUGAAGCCAAGUAAGAUCUGCUUCUUAGCUGCAUGUCAG
rnacentral:lncRNA from 1 species